GACGAACGCUGGCGGCGUGCUUAACACAUGCAAGUCGAACGGAAAGGCCCUGCUUUUGUGGGGUGCUCGAGUGGCGAACGGGUGAGUAACACGUGAGUAACCUGCUCUUGACUUUGGGAUAACUUCAGGAAACUGGGGCUAAUCCAGGAUAGGAGCUCCUGCUGCAUGGUGGGGGUUGGAAAGUUUCGGCGGUUGGGGAUGGACUCGCGGCUUAUCAGCUUGUUGGUGGGGUAGUGGCUUACCAAGGCUUUGACGGGUAGCCGGCCUGAGAGGGUGACCGGCCACAUUGGGACUGCGAUACGGCCCAGACUCCUACGUGAGGCAGCAGUGGGGAAUAUUGCACAAUGGUCGGAAGCCUGAUGCAGCAACGCCGCGUGCGUGAUGACGGCCUUCGGGUUGUAAACCGCUUUCGCCUGUGACGAAGCGUGAGUGACGGUAAUGGGUAAAGAAGCACCGGCUAACUACGUG
rnacentral:rRNA from 1 species